rnacentral:rRNA from 1 species
UACGGGGGGGGCAAGCGUUGUUCGGAAUUACUGGGCGUAAAGGGCUCGUAGGCGGCCAACUAAGUCGGGCGUGAAAUCCCUCGGCUUAACCGGGGAACUGCGUCCGAUACUGGAUGGCUUGAGUUUGGGAGAGGGAUGCGGAAUUCCAGGUGUAGCGGUGAAAUGCGUAGAUAUCUGGAGGAACACCGGUGGCGAAGGCGGCAUCCUGGACCAACACUGACGCUGAGGAGCGAAAGCCAGGGGAGCAAACGGG